UUACCCGGCUUUUCAGUGACCGCACCUAAAUCUUGCAAAACAUCCCGCUCCGAAUCUGCGAGCACAUGUCUGAUAAUACGGCUUCGCAUAACGAAGCAGAAGGAGGGUGUAAAGUGUUUAACAGAUCAACCAUUUAGCGGUUGGGUGGAUUUACUACCAUAAAUACUGUUUUAAAAAUACAAAUCCCCAUAGAUUUACAGAACAAAGGAUUCUACAAGCGAAAACACGAGCUCUUUUCCUGACCAGACACCCGAUCUCCAGAUUGCUGAAACAUUCUGCAACGUGUUGCCCUUUAUUUAAAAGUUCUGGUUCAGAGUCUAUGCUACAGCUGUUGGUGAUGUCACUCUGCACCCUCCUGGCUGUGGCCCCCAGAGUAACUUCAUCACGCGCUCAAGUGGCGCUUUGCUGCAGCGGAGCUGGGGUGACUGCGGGGGGCCUUAAUAAACCCGUCUCAUGGUGUGAUGUCCCCGGAGAAUGGGCUGAGAGCAGCGCGGAGAGUUCCAGCUCUUCAGACAACCUUUUCGUCCAGGUGCAUCCUUAUGAAAACUAGCUGACACUUAACACCAAGCUCUCUGCUCUCUUUUCUUUGCACUUGUGAUUUACAGGAACUCUUGAUCUUUUUUUUUUUUGGCCUUGGUCAAAUACAUAUCCAGAGAAUUUAAACUCUCUAACAGCACUUAAGUGCUUAAUUUGCUACUUAUUGGUGAAAUAGUGUGUUCACCUUUUUUCCAUGGCCUAAAUUUCCUGCAGACUGAAAACAAACCACAGAAAUGAGCAGAUUGGAGUUAUACCUGCAGGCACUGCACCCCUACAGAACUGGAAUUAAACCUGCAGACAGUGCCCCCUCCAGGACUGGAGUUAAACCUGCAGACACUGCACCCUCAAGGACUGGAGAUAAACUUUCAGACACAGUGCCCCCCUCCAGGACUGGAGUCAAACCUGCAGACAUGCAUCCCAGCAGGACUGGAGUUAAACCUGGAGGCACUGCAACCCUCUGGGAAUGGAGUUAAAAUUGCAGACAUGGUGGCCCUCCAGGACUGGUGUUUGAGACCCCUGUUUGAACUCCUCAGAUGUCAGGCCUUUGCUGUCAUCUUGCAUUUAUUCAUAAGAAGAGAGACCAACCUGCCCAGCCCAGUCUCCAGCUGUUUUCACUCUGCACUGCACCAGCUGAGCUGCGCAGUAACUGCAUCAGAGAAGUGCACUUCCUGCAGUUUGUGCAGUCAGACCCCAAACAGACCCCAACGAUUGGCCAGACCUGUUGUCAGUGGCCAAUGAAGCGAGAGGGACAAACCCAUCAUGUCCCUGAUUUAAAUUCUGUUUCCCAGGUAAACCAUGGAUCUUAUUUUUCUAUAAUCUGAGACAUAUUGCUAUGUAAAACCUGUAUUUUCACAAUGUAUCAGCUUCCUUAUUAGAGGUAGUAAAUUAAUGAAUUGGUAAUAAUUGGUAAUGUGCAUGGUUUGGAUGUAAUGUUCGCAUUUAGCUACAGUAAGGUUCUAUACACAUUUGAUAUGGUAUAGACUUACUGUAUAUGCAUCUUUUUGUAGUAUAUACAGGUCAUUUCAUUUUUAAUCCUUAACUUAAAAUAUGAAGGAAAUUUAAGCUGUUUUUUUGUUAAUUUUGGCAGUUACUGGACUUGCCAACCAAAGGGAAAAAAACACUUGCAUUUUUACCGAGUCAGUGGUCAGGGUAAAUGUUGAUUGAAAGCAGGUUUAAAUGUUAUUUAUUUUUUCAGCUUUAGUGUUUCUGCUCUUCAUUACUGGGUGCUGCUUAGCUCACUAACCUGCUUGCUGCUGCCCUGUGGCCUUAUUUUCCAAAACAGCUUCCACAACCCCAGUGCAUAGUGGUAAUAUAACUAGACCACAUAAAAUUGUCAGUAAUUCUGACCUUAAUUUGAAGAAACAACUGAAAGGUGAUAAAACUGCACUUCCCAUGAGCCACAGUGUACGUGCGUGUCAUAAAGUAGUCCUUGUCUCCCAACCACUAUCUCUCCCCCCCUUGACAUUUAUUGUGUUUUCUUCACUGAUGAUUUGCACAAAUGAAAAUUGCUGCCGUGUGAUACUCAAACAUCGUCCCUAACAGUAACAAAUUAAGUCAUCAGCAACUUAUGGCCUGGUGGUUUUAUCCUUUGUUGUAAUUGUGUUGUGAGUUUACUAUGAGGAAAUGCAUCAAGGAAUACUUUCCCCAAAUUUAUUGGAUUCUUCUGUGUAUAAAUCUCCAAGUCAUUUGAUUGCCAAUAUGAAAGUAAUACUCCACAACUGAGCCUGAGUGCGAUCGGGACUGUUGAGGAAAGACCGUCGAAAGCUACACUCAGAAUGCCCCACAUGUCCAGCCGAGGAACUUUACUCUUUAUCUUGUUUAACCGACUGUGGACAGAUCGACGCUCAAGUAACGCUCUGUGUAAACACAGCAGAGGCGAAAGGUUUGACCUCACUGUGGCAGGCUGUGUUUCCAGGCAUUAAUCCGUGGCAAGGCCAGCUCCAGAUCUGAGGUUUUUAUCAGCUGUGACAACACUGGCGCGCGGAGCCAAGGUGGCGCUGUGAGAAGCUAGCGUCCUGCCGUUUGGGUGCAGUGAUCCUACUGUGAGGUCCCCUGCGCGCUUGUGGGCUUUUUUGUUCAGAAGUGGUUUUUGCGAAUCCCUUAAUGCUCUCGGAUUAAAACGCCGCGCUCGGGUGGUGCGGGAGGUGAGGGGCUGCUCCGAGUGGGAGAUUCAUUCGUGGUUGUGGAGGAGGGAAUUGCAGCAUAAAAUGUAUUUUUUUUAAAGAAAACAUUUUUUUUUUAAAGAAAACUAUUUUUCAGGGCAGGAAUCUCUGCUGUGGCCCGUUGAGGAUGAAGGAAUGCACUGGUUACAUUGUAAGGAAUGUUACUUGUUUUAACAGAAGUAUUGCUGUAUUUUGAAUAAUACUUCGCUGUUGGUGCUGUAUACAGCAUGUUGCUUUAGAUGUAAAAUAGGUUUUGGGUAAAUUCCUUUUUGGCUGAUGAAACAUUGCAGAAAUCAUCCUUUACUAUAAUCUAAAAUACAGAAAUGUUCCUUCAGUGCAAACAUGGAGGUGGACUGUGCUGUACUGUGUUUCAUUAUACAUCAUGGUGAAAGCUAUUGAGAUAUAUACUGCAGUAACUGCCAUUAAAUUACUCAUUGUUGCCAGAAAGUUGCUGUAAUUUUGACAACAUUUUCCUAACAGUGUACACCAUUUAAUUAUUUCGGAGCUUGUUUGAGCCAAGCAACCAUUUUUUCUGGAAAUUACCAUGACGUGCCAUAGGCGUUGAUCGAAUGAUUUCUGUUUUAAUACGGCAAGAUAUACUGCAGAAAGCAGUUAUUUACAAGUAAUGAUUUCGAAACAACGGAGUGGGGAAAUAUAGAAAGGAAAUGGGUUGAUUCUGAGAAACUACAGGUGUCACGUGGCAAAUUCUUGUGAAAAAUAAAUACAUGUUGGAUUCCAUGCUACGCUUUUGCAAAUCUUUGCACAGAGUGGUAUGUGGAUUGAGAUUGAUGGAGGGCCGAGCUUGCAGAUCAGCUCAGGUUUCAGUGGCUGGGUGUGCGCAGCGUUUCCAGUGUACAGCCUACAUCGCGUCUCUCUCGCCUCCUAUCUCCAGAGGUGUAGAAUUCACUCGCCACUAAGACAGCAGUCACAUUCAUCUCCGUUGCCGAGCAGCGCGAGUUACGUCUGACAAGAGAUCGCACGAAUCACGU